AUAAUCAUUUGCCUUAUAAUUGAAGGCUAGUAUGAAUGGUUUGACGAGAGCAAUACUGUCUCCUUUUUAUUUUCAAAAACUUAACUUUUAGGUGAAGAGGCCUAAAUUUUAUUGAAGGACAAGAAGACCCUGUCGAGCUUAAAAGACAUUAUAGGAGUCUAAUAUAUUUUUAAAUAAAUUUUCUAUUAGGCUUUUUAGUUGGGGCGACUAGGGAACAAAAAAAGCUUCUUUCUAAUAAAUAAACAAUCAUGUUUAGAUCCGAUAAUAGCGAUCAAAGAAAUUAGUUACCGCAGGGAUAACAGCAUAAUCUCUCUUAAGAGACCUAAUCGAAAGAGGGGGUUGUGACCUCGAUGUUGGACUAGAAUAUCCUAAAGAUGCAGAAGUCUUUAAGGGUCGGUCUGUUCGACCGUUAAAAUUCU
rnacentral:rRNA from 2 species